rnacentral:rRNA from 1 species
AGAGUUUGAUCCUGGCUCAGAAUCAACGCUGGCGGCGUGCCUAACACAUGCAAGUCGAACGAGAAAGGGUAGCAAUACCUGAGUAAAGUGGCGCACGGGUGAGUAACACGUGACUAACCUACCUUUUAGUGGGGGAUAACCUAGGGAAACCUGGGCUAAUACCGCAUAACACUUACGAGUCAAAGCAGCAAUGCGCUGAAAGAGGGGGUCGCGGCCGAUUAGCUAGUUGGCGGGGUAAUGGCCCACCAAGGCAGUGAUCGGUAUCCGGCCUGAGAGGGCGCACGGACACACUGGAACUGAAACACGGUCCAGACUCCUACGGGAGGCAGCAGUGGGGAAUUUUGCGCAAUGGGGGAAACCCUGACGCAGCAACGCCGCGUGGAGGAUGAAGUCCCUUGGGACGUAAACUCCUUUCGAUCGGGACGAUAAUGACGGUACCGGAAGAAGAAGCCCCGGCUAACUUCGUGCCAGCAGCCGCGGUAAUACGAGGGGGGCAAGCGUUGUUCGGAAUUAUUGGGCGUAAAGGGUGCGUAGGUGGUUCGGCAAGUCUUGUGUGAAAUCUUCAGGCUCAACUUGAAGUCUGCAUAAGAAACUGCCGGGCUUGAGUAUGGGAGAGGUGAGUGGAAUUUCCGGUGUAGCGGUGAAAUGCGUAGAUAUCGGAAGGAACACCUGUGGCGAAAGCGGCUCACUGGACCAUUACUGACACUGAGGCACGAAAGCUAGGGGAGCAAACAGGAUUAGAUACCCUGGUAGUCC